rnacentral:rRNA from 1 species
AGAGUUUGAUCCUGGCUCAGAUUGAACGCUGGCGGCAGGCUUAACACAUGCAAGUCGAGCGGAGAUGAGGUGCUUGCACAUUAUCUUAGCGGCGGACGGGUGAGUAAUGCUUAGGAAUCUGCCUAUUAGUGGGGGACGACAUUCCGAAAGGAAUGCUAAUACCGCAUACGUCCUACGGGAGAAAGCAGGGGAUCUUCGGACCUUGCGCUAAUAGAUGAGCCUAAGUCGGAUUAGCUAGUUGGUGGGGUAAAGGCCUACCAAGGCGACGAUCUGUAGCGGGUCUGAGAGGAUGAUCCGCCACACUGGGACUGAGACACGGCCCAGACUCCUACGGGAGGCAGCAGUGGGGAAUAUUGGACAAUGGGGGGAACCCUGAUCCAGCCAUGCCGCGUGUGUGAAGAAGGCCUUAUGGUUGUAAAGCACUUUAAGCGAGGAGGAGGCUACUGAGACUAAUACUCUUGGAUAGUGGACGUUACUCGCAGAAUAAGCACCGGCUAACUCUGUGCCAGCAGCCGCGGUAAUACAGAGUGUGCGAGCGUUAAUCGGAUUUACUGGGCGUAAAGCGUGCGUAGGCGGCUUUUUAAGUCGGAUGUGAAAUCCCCGAGCUUAACUUGGGAAUUGCAUUCGAUACUGGGAAGCUAGAGUAUGGGAGAGGAUGGUAGAAUUCCAGGUGUAGCGGUGAAAUGCGUAGAGAUCUGGAGGAAUACCGAUGGCGAAGGCAGCCAUCUGGCCUAAUACUGACGCUGAGGUACGAAAGCAUGGGGAGCAAACAGGAUUAGAUACCCUGGUAGUCCAUGCCGUAAACGAUGUCUACUAGCCGUUGGGGCCUUUGAGGCUUUAGUGGCGCAGCUAACGCGAUAAGUAGACCGCCUGGGGAGUACGGUCGCAAGACUAAAACUCAAAUGAAUUGACGG